CGGGCUUGAAUUGCACUGGACAGGCUAAGAGAUUAGUUUUUCUUCGGACCAGUGUGAAGGUGCUGCAUGGUUGUCGUCAGCUCGUGCCGUGAGGUGUCGGCUUAAGUGCCAUAACGAGCGCAACCCUUGCCUUCAGUUGCCAUCAGUAUUAAGCUGGGCACUCUGUAGGGACUGCCAUCGCAAGAUGUGAGGAAGGUGGGGAUGACGUCAAAUCAGCACGGCCCUUACGUCCGGGGCUACACACGUGUUACAAUGGGGGGCACAGCGCGGAGCUACCUGGUGACAGGGUGCGAAUCGUGAAAUCCCCUCUCAGUUCGGACUGGAGUCUGCAACCCGACUCCACGAAGCUGGAUUCGCUAGUAAUCGCGCAUCAGCCAUGGCGCGGUGAAUACGUUCCCGGGCC
rnacentral:rRNA from 1 species